CAGCCGCCGCGGUAAUACGUAGGGUGCAAGCGUUAAUCGGAAUUACUGGGCGUAAAGCGUGCGCAGGCGGUUUGUUAAGACAGAUGUGAAAUCCCCGGGCUCAACCUGGGAACUGCAUUUGUGACUGGUAAGCUAGAGUGUGGCAGAGGGGGGUGGAAUUCCGCGUGUAGCAGUGAAAUGCGUAGAUAUGUGGAGGAAUACCGAUGGCGAAGGCAGCCCCCUGGGAUAACACUGACGCUCAUGCACGAAAGCGUGGGGAGCAAACAGGAUUAGAGACCCGUGUAGUCCCUGUCUCUUAUAC
rnacentral:rRNA from 1 species